UACGGAGGGUGCAAGCGUUAUCCGGAUUUACUGGGUUUAAAGGGUGUGUAGGCGGGCUUUUAAGUCCGUGGUGAAAUCUCCGGGCUCAACCCGGAAACUGCCAUUGAUACUAUUAGUCUUGAAUUUUGUUGAGGUAGGCGGAAUAAGUCAUGUAGCGGUGAAAUGCUUAGAUAUGACUUAGAACACCAAUUGCGAAGGCAGCUUGCUAAACAAACAUUGACGCUGAGGCACGAAAGCGUGGGGAGCAAACAGG
rnacentral:rRNA from 1 species